GUGCACCAGGCGAGAAACCUCCGCAAUGCGGGAAACCGCGACGGGGGACCCCGAGUGCCGUGGCAACGCCACGGCUUUUCCGGAGUGUAAAAAGCUCCGGGAAUAAGGGCUGGGCAAGGCCGGUGGCAGCCGCCGCGGUAAUACCGGCGGCCCGAGUGGUGGCCGCUAUUAUUGGGCCUAAAGCGUCCGUAGCCGGGCCCGUAAGUCCCUGGCGAAAUCCCACGGCUCAACCGUGGGGCUUGCUGGGGAUACUGCGGGUCUUGGGACCGGGAGAGGCGGGGGGUACCCCUGGGGUAGGGGUGAAAUCCUAUAAUCCCAGGGGGACCGCCAGUGGCGAAGGCGCCCCGCUGGAACGGGUCCGACGGUGAGGGACGAAGGCCAGGGGAGCAAACCGGAUUAGAUACCCCGGUAGU
rnacentral:rRNA from 1 species